UCUUUUUCAAUUCUCUAUAUUGUGAUAAUAACCAUAACGAUAACGGUGUCCAUGUAAUUCUCACUUGAUUGAUUGGGUAUGAGGAAGGAAACUGGAGAUAGACCUACGCAAUAUGUGACUGAUGUGCAAUUAAUUUGUUAUGAGUUGGUAGUUGUGACUUGUGAUUGUUUGCGUCGUAGCCUUUGUUUCUUAAUUUACUUCCACUGUAGGAACCAUAAGAACAUCCAUUAAUCACCCGCCCUUCGAUAUGUGCAGUGGAAAUUACGUGACUUCUAGUGGGCAUGUUACAUGCCGUACUCAUGAAAAAAGCUUUCAUGUUUGUGGUGUAAAUCCAUGUUUGUGGUUAUGAAGAUGUUUGGCUGAAAUGAGAAGUGCUUGAAAAUGUGUAGAUUAGUUAUUACUCGUAUAUAGUUGGUUUAAAUUUAGUUGGCUAGUUGUAUUUUUUUAUGAUUACUCAUGCAGUGAUGAGUCUCAUGGUAAGGCACUCAUAAUGGAAAUUGGAAUCAUGACAUUGGACGAGAGGCUAGUUUGACCAGGAAAGUAUUAGUAAGUCUGGUCUGGUGUGACCAAGAGUUGUGUUUGAGACAAGAUUCUUUUGAUAAAAACGAUGAUUAAGCCUUGUUUUUUGUUUCAUCACUUCAAUCAGGUCUUCGUAAGCCUCUUUGUUAUUGACCGAUGCAUUACAAAUUUACACAAGUUUACCAUUGUCAUUCGUCACUUCGCCAGUAGAAGUAUCUAAUUUGUGUGAAAAUUUCUACCAGUGUGUUUUUAAUUCCUUACUUUUUUGGUACUGAGAUUGAUAUUUUUAUUGAAAUUUCCUAGUUAACUCUUUUUGCUAUUUUGCUGUUGCAAAAGGCAGUUGCUGCCCCAGAUUCUGCUGUGGAACUGCCCUUGACUCCAGAAAAUGUGUAGUGUGUGUUGGAUGAAGUUCGACAAUAUCUCCUGGUAAUGUGACACCUAAGAUGCACCGACACGGAUACGGGAUACGGACACGUCAGGGAUAUGUCAAAUGUAAAGUGCAUUUGUAUUAUAGAGGUAUGCUACGAUUUCCUAUAAACGUUGGAGACCUUUUAAUGUGUCCUUAGCAUGUUCCAAGUGUGUUUCCAACAUGUCCUAGAGUAUCCACAAUGUGUCUAAGGAAGAGAAAUAUAAUAAAAACAUUGGACAAGUAUUUAGGCUUGUCCAAUACGUGUCCAGAGAGUGUCAUGUCGUGUCCGUGACUGACACGUGUCGGACACGGAUACGUGAGGCCGAUAGACGUGUUUGUGCUUCUUAGUGUGACACUACACAAGAUUGAUGGCAAUGUUGCAAGGUUGAAGCUACAAUGAGCGUGUGGCUCCUUUUCAAGCUUCGUAACGACUGUGAAGAUGGGAAUCAAGUGUUGUUUAAUGUAAAAUUUUCCUGAAGUAGUUGCGGUGGAACCUAUAGCAGAUGGGGAGAUUGGCCUCGAGCUGAUUAAGAAAACAUAGACAAGGUCCUUGGAAAAUACGGUCAUACCUAGUUGGAGAAGCUGGUGGAUCUAUGGAACUUGUGGCAAUCGAAGAGCCAAUUGUGCAAAUACGAAUCACGGGUCCAACUGUAGGGCCCAGAUUUGAUCUAGUCCUUUGACAGGCCAAUGCAGGGGUAUUGCGAUUUGGGUGUCUGUCACACAGGAACUACAGGAGAAAAUAAUAUCCGUUGCAGUAAUUCAACUAAUAUAAUACUCGCGGACGUUCGUGAUGAAUAACUUCGGGUCUUUCAUGCUUAAAUAAGGAUGUUAGUGAAACAUUUUUUUUCAUAUAUUUCGAAGACCCAGUUUAGAAUAUGAAUGGGUUGGCCAUCUUUAGUGACCACAACUGACAAAUUGUACAUUCAUUAUAGUUACUUUUUGUUAUAAAAGUGCACUCAUUCAGUUUAA